UACGUAGGGUGCAGGCGUUAAUCGGAAUUACUGGGCGUAAAGCGUGCGCAGGCGGUCUGCUAAGAGAGAUGUGAAAUCCCCGGGCUUAACCUGGGAACUGCGUUUCUAACUGGCAGGCUUGAGUGUGGCAGAGGGGGGGUGGAAUUCCACGUGUAGCAGUGAAAUGCGUAGAGAUGUGGAGGAACACCGAUGGCGAAGGCAGCCCCCCUGG
rnacentral:rRNA from 1 species